CACGGUUGGGGGCAAAACUGGGUUCUUCUUUGUCAUUUCAGUUGCUACAUUUUCCAGAAAAUCAACAUUUUCACUCAGUCGCAUAACAAACAGUAACUACAUCUCUGGUUAUUGAGAGAGAGGGGGAGAGAGAGAGAAUGAAGUGACCUAGAAAAAAGGUGUGUGAGCAUACCCAUGAGUGAAGCCUCCAGCAAGUGGGUUCUCCACAGAACUUGAUCCAUGGGUGACAUGGUACCAAGCUUGGCACCUUUGUUUUGGAUCUUAACAAUGCUCAUAAGGCUUGAGAAGAGAAUCACGAACAUGGUGCCAGCAAUGGUCUUCACUGUAGCAGGACCCUUCCCCAUUUUUAUCUGAUCCAGCGUCUUAAUAACAAGAUCUCUCAAUGGCCCAAUCUUCACCAACAAAAGAAAUGCCAUAGCACCCUCGACAAAAGCACCAAGAACAACAACUGAAUCAUCCUUUUUGAACCCCACAAAAUAACAGAUACCCACUUCAACUACAACAACAAAAAUCCCUUUUUUUUCAAGAAAAACGAAUGAAAGCUACCUCCACAAACACACAAUCGUUCUUU
rnacentral:lncRNA from 1 species